GACGAACGCUGGCGGCGUGCUUAACACAUGCAAGUCGAACGGAAAGGCCCUGCUUUUGUGGGGUGCUCGAGUGGCGAACGGGUGAGUAACACGUGAGUAACCUGCCCUUGACUUUGGGAUAACUUCAGGAAACUGGGGCUAAUACCGGAUAGGAGCUCCUGCUGCAUGGUGGGGGUUGGAAAGUUUCGGCGGUUGGGGAUGGACUCGCGGCUUAUCAGCUUGUUGGUGGGGUAGUGGCUUACCAAGGCUUUGACGGGUAGCCGGCCUGAGAGGGUGACCGGCAACAUGGGGCGUGAUGUAGGCCACGGCGCCCAACGGGGGACAGAGGGGGGAAUUAUGGACCAGUGGGGGGAGGCUGGAGACGGAACCCCCCGGGGGGGAAGGCGGGCUUGGGGGUGUAAACAAGCUUCCGCUGGUGACGAAGGGGGUGUGAGGGAAGGGGGAAAAAAAGCACGGGCUAACUAGGGG
rnacentral:rRNA from 1 species